CCAAGCACCACUUUUGAUGUGUCUCAUGUGUCUGUUAGAUUUGGAGGGAACUUAGACCAUUGAUCAAGGAUUUGUUGUUUGUUCCUUUGGUAUCCUACUUCUAUAGGAAUAUACGAAACUUGAGGAAAGCAAUGGCACUGAUCUUCUGGCAGAUGAAAACUUCCUGAUGGUGACACAGCUACAUUGGGAGGAUGAUAUCAUUUAGGAUGGUGAAGAUGUCAAACACAAAGGGGAAAAACCUCAGCGUGCGAGCCUGGCAGGCUGGCUUCCUUCCAGUAUGACUAGAAAUGCCAUGGCUCACAAUGUCAAACAAGGUUUUGCAGCCACUCUAGAUGAUGACAAACCUUGGUACUCCAUUUUUCCCAUCGAUAAUGAGGAUCUAGUGUAUGGACGUUGGGAGGACAGUAUCAUUUGGGAUGCUCAGGCCAUGCCCUGGCUGUUGGAACCUCCUGUUUUAACUCUUGAUCCCAAUGAUGAGAACCUCAUUGUGGAGAUUCCUGAUGAGAAAGAGGAGGCCACUUCAAAUUCCCCCUCCAAGGAGAGUAAGAAAGAAUCAUCUCUGAAGAAGAGUCGAUUUCUCUUAGGGAAAACAGGAGUCAUCAAUGGAGGAACCCCAGCAGGUCUGUUUAAAGGGGCUUGGUGAUUAGAAGAACAAAGAAAGGUAAUAGAAAAGAAAAGUCUAAGGUUUAUUUGAUGAUCUAUCUUUAGAACGUGUCUCAGCCAGAAGUGAAAGAUCCAUGGAAUCUCUCCAGUGAUGAGUACUACUACCCCAAGCAACAGGGUCUUCGAGGUACUUUCGGAGGGAAUAUUAUUCAGGUACAAACAGCAUCUUUUCUCUGGUGGUGGGGACCCACUCUUGUUUUGAUGGAGAAUAUGGGUAAAUCUUGCCUGGGCUGGAGUUAGUAUUUCAUUUUAAAUUUAAUUUCUUUUUUUGAGACGGUCCCACUAUGUAGUUCAGGCUGGCCUUGAACUCACUGUUUUACCCAGGCUAACCUCGAACUCAUGGCAAUCUUCCUGCCUCAGCCUCCCAAGAGCUGGGAUAUUACAGGCAGGUGCCACUACUCCUGGCUUAAUUUUUAAUUUUCUAUUUCCUGUUUCAGCAUUCAAUUCGCUGUGGAAUUACAACAACCCUUUUUUCCCACCCACAUGGGACCCAUCAAACUCCGGAAGUUCCAUCACCCACCUCUAAAAAAGUAUUCCUUUGGGGCACUGUCUCAGCCAGGUCCCCACUCAGUUCAGCCUUUGCUAAAGCACAUCAAAAAGAAGGCCAAG
rnacentral:lncRNA from 1 species